ensembl:misc_RNA Metazoa_SRP Metazoan signal recognition particle RNA
GCUGGGUGUGGUGGCGCACACCUGUAGUCCCAGCUACUUGGGAGGCUGAGGCAGGAGAAUCACUUGAACCCAGGAGAUGGAGGUUGCAGUGAGCUGAGAUCGUGCCACUGCACUCCAGCCUGGGUAACAGAGCAAGACCCUGUCUCAA